UGGUGGGAUGUGGGUGCUGAGCUCUGCCCAGGGGCCUGGGGCUCCCUCAGUGACUGCGGGGCAAAUUCCCUUUAAUCCAGGGAAUUAAACCCCAGGCAAAGCCAUUGAUGGCCAUGCUUUAGCUGAGAUCCAGGCCAAAUCCUGUUUCCAUUGAAGCUAAAUGGGAGCUUUAGCUGCUGGUUUCAGAGGGAUCAGGGCUAGGACCUGCUGCCAGGUGUUGAGCACAUCUGCCCUACUGACCUCAGCAGGAUGGGCUGCCCUGCCCAGGGAUGGGUUCUGGCUUCCUGUGUGCUGCAAUGAUCUCAGAGUACUUAGGGUGACAGUGGGCACUCAAGCUGUGCUUUGCCUCCCCUCUACAGGUCCUGACACCAAAACAACCGUGACAGGUUGACAAGGUUCUGACAGCCUUGCUCCAUUUGAGCCAUCUCCAGCUGCUGAUUCGUCAUUUGCCUCCUCAAAACCAUCUCCUGAUAUGGAAACAGCUCAUCACUGCCUGUAACCAGCAGGAACACCAGGUCCUGCAGCAUCUGUUUUGGACAUCAAGGCAAGUGGGCCUGGGACAGCUUUAUCUGGGGAAGAACACUACUGAUGUUUACUACUGGUGUUGUACUAGAACUGCUGCUUGCCUGCUGCUGCCAGGAGAAGCACUCCCAGACAGGCUGACCUUCCAAGAUGGGAGACCCCAAAAUCCUCAGCACAAGAGAAAGAGCUACAGAGGGAGAAUGGAGCAAGGCAGGUCCCAGGGCCCUGGUUGUGCUGCCUGGUGUGUCCCAGCAGUGUCAGCUGCCUUGGAGCAGCACCUCAGCUACUUCUGCUCUCUGAAGACUUGUGUGAAAGUGACCAAGACACAAGGGGCCAGGACUGCUCCUGGAAGAGGAAAAGCCUAUUGGUGUUGCCUGAAUGAAGGGGCUGAGUGUCUGCAUUCACAUCCUGGGAAAGCAGUUGAGAUUGAUCCUGGUUUGGUCACCCACUGAUGAGCUAAUUUUAACACCAACCAUGAGCAUCUCACCGCUGGAAUUGCUGUGUGCCCGCUUGUGUGAGCGAGCAAAUCACUCCAGCAGCAGCGUGGAUCGUUCUUCUGCACCCAUUGUUAUGGAAAUCGCCUUAGAGACUGUUGCUCCAGCAAACAUUUUUAGAAGCACGGUUUGCUUCUCAUGCUCCUCAUCACUGCCUGCAGUGGAGCAGGACCAGCUCUCCAGCCUGUGCCCAGGAGCCUCCUGCAGCCUCAGCUGAUGGAAGGGGAAAAGCACAGAUCCAGUGACCUUUGUUUGCCUCACUGCUGCUCACAGUCCCUGCCUGACAUUUGAGGAGUGCUCUUAAAAAAACCCUACCAUUUCUGGCACACUGGCCCUGCUGCUGAAGAGCUGUUCCUCUUCCACCUCCUUCACCUACUGGGAUUAAAAGCUACAGGUAAUGCUGGGGAGUAAAUGAAAGGCUUUCCACAAGGAAAUAAGCUAAAACAGUAAACAAAAGGCUGAUUCUUAGAAGCAAAACAACUGAAGGUGUCACCAGGAAAACAUGGUGACGAAUCUCUCUGGUCCUCGGAAGUUGCCUUACAUAUGUUGGAAAUUACCUUGUGACUCAGCCAGCUCAGUGUGUCUGGUGCCACUGUGCUGAAAGCUUUUAGCUGACCUCAAUACCCAAGGUUUUCAAGGAAAUAAUAUUUCCCUUGAGAAAUGUCACCACCAGAGCCAAGCCUCUCCUGAGAAAAGCCUGGCUUAGGUGGGUGAUUUCUCCUGCUCUGGGAGCAGCCUCCCUGAGGAGCUGAGCUCCCACUGCUGUGUCCCUGUGGGCACGCCCAGAGCUCUGCUCUCACUCCUCUGGCAGAGGGCUCUCCAAAGCAAGGUCCAAGUGAAAGCCUUUUAAUCAUCCUGCAGCCAUCUCCUGGGAGUGUUCUCUUCCCUGCUGCCCUUCUCCCUCCAGAGUCUGCCUUCUUACGCAGAGCCAGUGACUCACUCCCUGGGAUGUCUUUGCUGAAUUUGCCUGGUCACCUCCUUCCCUGAGUGCUGCUUCUUGCUUGUCACAUGGUGAGUGAAGGAGCACAGGCACAGUGUGUGCUGGGAUGGCACCAGCUGCUGGCAGGAUCCCCCUUUCUCGUGCCCUGGGUGUCCCUAGGCUGUUGUGGGGCAGAAGGGAAGGGAUGUGUGUCUCCAAUUCCAUCCUUUUCUCCAAGAUCCACCACCUGAGCUAUGGAAUGCUGUGAGCCCUCCCUGCUCCCCUGGCUUUGCACGUUGCAGGGUGCCAUUCACAAGGACCUCAGUGUGCAAAGAGGAGCUUUGUGAAGUCCAGCAAAGGGAGUGGGAGCUCCUGCCCCCAAGGAGGAAUGACCCCACUCACCUGUACAAUGACCCAGUACAAACUGGGGACCAGCUGGCUGGAAAACAGCUGUGCAGGUAGAGACCUGGGAGGUCCUGGUGGAUAAUGAGCUGACCAUGAGCCAGUGGUGCCUUCUCACAAUCAGCAACAUCCUGAGCUGGAUUAAUCAGCAACAUCAUGAGCUGGAUUAAGAAGAGCAUUGCCAGCAGGCCAAGGGGGAAGGAGGAAGGAGGUUUUGAUUCAUCCUUUUUGAUGAGGCACUGCUGCCAGAAACUGGAUUGGCACAUUGUGAGUGCUUCAGGUACUUCUUGCCAACUCUGAGGUCCAGCAGAGUCCUGCAUGAAGGAACUUAAACCCCAGUUCAAGGCUUGGAAAGCAGGACACAGACAGAGGGAAGGAACCUGCCCAGCAUCACACAAUUAAGCCAGUGGUGGAUUGGGAAGUGACUUGACUCUUCCCCAAGACCUGGUUCAGUUCCCUCUAUGCUGGGUCCUGUUCUUGUAGGUCAUAUAUGUGUAUUCAGAAGUUGUGAAUGUACCCAAGAGCCUCAGGCUGGCCAAAGGGGUGCUUUGUGUUCAAAAUAAAGUCCUGUUUCCUGGAAACUAAACUUUUUUGGGGAAAAAAGAGCAUGGCUCAGCUGAACAUUGCUAACGCUGUGAGGAAAAUAGAAGUUGUUUUUUGAUGCUCUGAAAGAGGAACCAGCCCCUUGCUCCUGAAAUGCUGCAUGGAAAUGGAUUCUUGGGUGUUGUUUAGUUUUAAGUGCAGUGAGGGGUUGCAAAACCAGAGAAUUUGACACAAGGCAAAAACCUUUGUAACCAGAGCAUCUUCACAGAUGUCCAGCAGAAGUUCUCCAGGGGAGAGCACAGGUGUGAGAGCUCAAAGCAGGGCAUGAGCCUGGGCUGCCUGUCCAUUCAUAGCCACAAAAUACACUCCAACCAGAACAACUGCAUGAAUGAAAAGUAGCAUUGUAGGAAACCUGCUCUGGCUGGGAGACGUGCACAGCUCAUUGGAGUAAAAGGAUAUGAAGAAUGAUUGACUUUAACACCACCCAUGGUGACGCGUCUGGAGCCUGUCCCGAAACUGAUGCGGUUGCUGCUGCGACCGCAGAAUGGAGGUGAAACAUUUCUCUUCUGGUUUCACAGGACCACACGCUGGCGGCUACACCUGCCUCCCUCGCACCACCAGAAAGGAUCCCUGUAAGAUUUCUGGGCUGUUUUCAGCACAACAGGGACUUUAGACCCAGAUUUUAGUUCUCUGCACGAGCUGCUGCUGCUCCCCUUGUGAAUUGAAGGUGCCUCGAUAAACAUUCUGAAAGGUCAGCUAUUUUCACUGUGCCUGUGGCUUGCAUAAGAACCUCGACAUCCUCUGCUGCGAAGAGCAGUGUUAGGAACUUCCUACUGCCACACUGAAUCACAAUGGCUUCCCACAGCAACCAGUGGUAAAAAUAAACCGGGCAAGGGGAAGUGGACAGCUUCUGCUGUUCCGCUUUCUCGGGCACACUUGAGUCACAAAAAAAGCGAUGUACAACAAGACAUUUAUUUUGCUGAUGCCAAUGAAAUCCAUGAAUGGUUCAGAGCACGGUCCCGCUGAAAUCACAGAGUGUUUUGCAAUGAGAUGCUCGCUGUGCUCAAAGUUAAGCGUGUGCUCAAAUGCUGUCUUAAGUUGGUAUUUUCAUUAGGAUCCAGCCUUAGGAAUUAGACUGAAAGGAGGCAGGGACCCCUGCACAUCCAAGAGCUGCUUUUGUACUAAAGGCACAGGAAUACAGCCCUCUUGGUGUAUUUCAUGUGUUAAGGGUCUAUAAAAGACCACUGAGGAGACAAUGGCUCUGAAAUAGUUUCAGCAGUAGAUCUCAGCUUUGAGAAAAACAGAUUUUGACCAGAAGAAAUGUGUCUUCAGAUACAAAUCAAUGUGAAGUUCUGCCUAGGGACAAUGCCAUUUGAACAGCACAGUUCUCAACAACAUUACAACUAAGACUCUGUGUGUGCACGUGUUUGUUUGCGUGUGGGGGAGUGUUUUAAGAGCAAUAUUUUUCCUGUUACACAAGGUACAGCCCAGUUCUGGCUGAAAUUCAGCCAGCUGGGGAAAAAAAACUUGAGGAGACCUAGUCAGGUUACUGAGCCUGGGAAUCUUCUGGUGAAGCAGACCUGCCUCUUCCCUUCAAACAGUGUGUGCUGACAAAGUUUAUAUUAAGAGGCUAAAGAGAUGAAAAGUUAGGGAGAAUUGAAAUGGCUUAUCUGCCCCAGACUGGGAAAAAGGAAUGGUUCCAACUCAUGCUUACAGGAAUUUGGAGAGCAGGGGCUUGUAGGAUAACCCAGGAGAGAAGAGAGCACAGCAGAGCUCCAAUCAGACCUCUGUCUGAAAGCUGGGUCAGCCCUGGGGACAGGUCAGGUUACCUGGGGAUGGUUGAGUUGGAUCCUGAAAUCAGUCGAGGAUGGAGAUUGCACAACCUCUCUGAGCAAUCCACCAGUGUUUGACUGCCUGCAUGGUGAAAAUAGACUGCAGGAGAAGUGGCUCAUACAGAACCAUAUUUUUAAUGUCAUCCUGCUCAUUAAAAAGAGAAAGAUCAAAUCUAUUUUGUAACAGGAACAGUUUGUGUGAGGCACGGAAAACUUCUGGUACCAGAGGUCUGAUUCACAUGAGAAGGAAUGUAAAAGAUGGAAGGAAACCAAAGGGUGCCUCCAGUUACAUUCCUGUCUUCAAAUGUUAGUGUUGCAGCACAAAAGGUUUGUAUUUAUAGUAGUGGAUAC